UUGAAGGCACUGAAGAACAAAGUGCUCCGCUUAGUCACUGAACAACUUUGGUUCAGGCAAUGGUAGUGCAAAUUCGUCUACACUUCCCUGCUGAUGUGCUUUGACCCUGACCCAGAAUGAUCUUUAUGGCUGAUGGGGUAGUUUAAUUUUCAUGGUCAUUCAGUCUUUGGCCUCU
rnacentral:sRNA from 1 species